AGCGAGGAUGAGUUGAGCUUGUUCAUAAGUAUGUCUCUGGUUGUCAACGUGGAGGUCAACAGACAGCAAACCCUGAGAAUGGAGCGCAGAAGGAAGGACCAGGGUAUUGAAACCAUAAUUGAGAUAAAGAGAACUGAAAUGAGUGGUCUCACUGCCCAAAUUGUUAUGAGCGAAUUCAGCCCAGGGAAUCAAAUCAACCCAGUUAUCCUGAUGUUCC